rnacentral:rRNA from 1 species
UACGAAGGAUCCAAGCGUUAUCCGGAUUCAUUGGGUUUAAAGGGUGCGUAGGCGGUUUAGUAAGUCAGUGGUGAAAUCCUCCCGCUUAACGGGAGAACUGCCAUUGAUACUGCUGGACUAGAGUACAGAUGACGUUGGCGGAAUGUGUCAUGUAGCGGUGAAAUGCAUAGAUAUGACACAGAACACCGAUUGCGAAGGCAGCUGACGAAACUGAAACUGACGCUGAGGCACGAAAGUGUGGGGAUCAAACAGG